rnacentral:rRNA from 1 species
UCUUGGUCAUUUAGAGGAAGUAAAAGUCGUAACAAGGUCUCCGUAGGUGAGUAAAUGAAUAAACUUCUCUCCCCAUUCCUCUCUAAUUUUAAUGCUAAUAAUAUUAAAGGUGAACCUGCGGAGGGAUCAUUA